CUGAAACCGUGUACGUACAAGCAGUGGGAGCCCCACCACCAAAGCAUUUGCUGUACCGCGUUGACGGAGCGAAGCGACGUCAAACCGAUAAAACAGCAGUGUAAAGUGAGCCGCAGGGCGCUUUGCGCGACAGCGCAAAGGCAGGCGGUUUCGCGUAGCGAAAGCGAAUGCUUUGGGGUGGGGUGACUGCGUACCUUUUGUAUAAUGGGUCAGCGACUUAUAUUCUGUAGCAAGGUUAACCGAAUAGGGGAGCCGGAGGGAAACCGAGUCUUAAUUGGGCGUUAAGUUGCAGGGUAUAGACCCGAAACCCGGUGAUCUAGCCAUGGGCAGGUUGAAGGUUGGGUAACACUAACUGGAGGACCGAACCGACUAAUGUUGAAAAAUUAGCGGAUGACCUGUGGCUGGGGGUGAAAGGCCAAUCAAACCGGGAGAUAGCUGGUUCUCCCCGAAAGCUAUUUAGGUAGCGCCUCGUGAAUUCAUCUCCGGGGGUAGAGCACUGUUUCGGCUAGGGGGCCAUCCCGGCUUACCAACCCGAUGCAAACUGCGAAUACCGGAGAAUGUUAUCACGGGAGACACACGGCGGGUGCUAACGUCCGUCGUGAAGAGGGAAACAACCCAGACCGCCAGCUAAGGUCCCAAAGUCAUGGUUAAGUGGGAAACGAUGUGGGAAGGCCCAGACAGCCAGGAUGUUGGCUUAGAAGCAGCCAUCAUUUAAAGAAAGCGUAAUAGCUCACUGGUCGAGUCGGCCUGCGCGGAAGAUGUAACGGGGCUAAACCAUGCACCGAAGCUGCGGCAGCGACACUGUGUGUUGUUGGGUAGGGGAGCGUUCUGUAAGCCUGUGAAGGUGUGUCGUGAGGC
rnacentral:rRNA from 1 species